UCCUGGGUGGCUCAGUUGGUUAAGCAUCUGACUUUGGUUCAGGUCAUGAUCUCGCAGUACAUGGGUUCGAGCCCCAUGUCAGGCU
rnacentral:tRNA from 1 species